GCCUUAGCAAAGGGACUGCUUUGCCAGGCUGCUGUCACAUAGCACUCCUGUCUCCCGUUUGACUUCACAUAGUGAAAAUUGUCUAAAAGAUAAGGCAGGAGCUCUGGUUGACACCACCACCCCCAUAGAUCUCUCUCUAGAAGCAUUGGAAGAGGCCGUCUCAAAAAAGAAAAAAAAAUAGAAGCAUUGCAGGAAAGACGUGGUUUGUAGUGAAACAAAUUGGAAGUCAAGCUCAGCCUCAACCACUUACUUGCUUCUGACCUUGGGAACUUAGGCCAGCUCCCAUCCAGUUCAAUCAGGUUGGGACCACCAAUUCUUCAAUGGGCCUGCCCAAAUGCCCAAGAAGUGGACUUUUGAUGUCAGAGGGCCAAAGAUCCCACCCUCAGAUCAUGCUAAUGCCACCACUUUCUGUACACAUGUCCUGUGAAAUGCCACAAACCCUGACUACUACGCUUGUGCAGAACAAACCUAUCAAUUAAUUUUUCCCUACUGCCAAUCACCUUUCCCCAUGCCUUACACCACCGUGUUUCCCUAACGCAUAAAUAUCCCUAAGCCUUAUCUUCAGGAAGCAGGAUGUGAGAGCUGUUCUACCACCUUGUUUGGUGGCCUUGCAAAUAAAUCCUUUCUCUUUUGCAAAACCCA